rnacentral:rRNA from 1 species
GACGGAGGAUGCAAGUGUUAUCCGGAAUCACUGGGCGUAAAGCGUCUGUAGGUGGUUUAAAAAGUCUACUGUUAAAAAUUGAAGCUUAACUUCAAAGAUGCCGUAGAAACUUUUAAACUUGAGGAUGGUAGGGGUAGAGGGAAUUUCCAGUGGAGCGGUGAAAUGCGUAGAUCUUGGAAAGACCACCAAUGGCGAAGGCACUCUACUGGGCCAUUACUGACACUAAGAGACGAAAGCUAGGGGAGCAAAUGGG